CUUUCCUCCGGUCUCACUCUUCUCCAUGGAGCAAUGCAAUUCUUCAGGGCCAAUGUGCUGAGUUUUUCUUUAUGGAAGUCAGGAUAUGAUGGCCUGAAAAAUUGUUUUAGAGGACCUCUAUGAAAUAUUAACUUGAUAAAGUCAAUUGGAUUCAUUUUGAAUGGAAGUUAGCCUGGCAGAUCUUGAGAAGAUAACCCAGAUAAUGCUUUGGAACAUAACUGGGGAGGAGCUUAAACCUGUUACUAUUGAAGAAGAG